GUGGUCUCUGCUGCGUGAUCUGGUAAUGGCGGAUCCGGAAUUUGUUUCUGCCCUCUAAGGCCCAGCUGUACACCUUUUCCUGCAGAUAACUGGCUGGGAAUUAGAUACCUGUACAAGUAAUGAUAAUUUGCCCAGUUGGCAGAAGAAGCAAGUGACUCAUACAGGAAGCGGCCUGAAUUUUCAGGAGCCUGCUUGGAACCAGGGACACGCAGCAGAUGGUGAAUUGUGUUACUUGCAUAGAGUGCGAUGCAGACAGAUGAGGCUCAUUCAUAACUGAGUCCCUC